GAACCUGAAAAUAUGUGGAUCCUUUUUUACUAGCUCAAUAGUUUAAAACUUUUUAACAAAAUAAGUUGGACCCUAUGCAAAUGUGCCACCUGUACAUGCACAUGCACAAAGCCGGUUCUGAUUAUCAGGUCAUGCUCUGGUGGCUAUAUAUGAAGAAUGUUUCAUCGCUAGUGGGUGUGAAGAUCUCAGGUAGAAACACAUAUAACGAAUGGACCUUAAGAAAGAGAGAUGGAGAAUAACUUAUCUAUUUCAUCAUGUACAUAUAUGAUCUAUACCUUUCAUGUGGGUAUGUUGUUUGCAUUCUUCAGACUUCACCCCCUGUUGGUUUUGCUUCAUUUUGAGUACAGUAGAACAUAAAUUUGAAUGCCAAAAAGAGAAAUAGAAAUAUACAUUUUUGGACAUUUUUUGCUUGUGUUGAUUGAUAUGGAUGCUUUAAAACGUCAAAGGCAGUUUUUUUUUCUGUUGCAAUCGCAGUUUCCAAGUCGGCGUUUUCCACCGUAUAAAACAGAAACGAAAGCGCCAAAAAAAAAAAAGAAACGUUGAUUAUCUCUCAGUCUCUGAUUCAUCUUCGUCUUCCUCUGAGAAGCUCGCACUUACCUUCCUUCUUCCAUCGCUCUUCCUCUCAUAAGGAGAUGCAAAGGAACGACCCAGUGGAUAGAAUCCCUCUGUUCGUAAGUGCUUUGAAUGGCGCCAUACUGGUCCCAUCUUUCAUGGCCAUCCCAGCAGACAUACCAGUUAACCUACGCCUCUCGAUGUUGCUUUUGGUCUUGUCCAUGCUGAGCGCUGCGUUGUCUUCUUUCCUUACGAGUGGUCUCAGAGGAAGAGCUUGGGGAAGAUGCGUGGGUGAUGGGUUGUUGUCUGCUGCAACGUUCUUUUUUAGUGGCAUCAUACCUCUGCUGUUCAGUGCAGUCUUGCCAGACCGAUUUGAUAGGAUACAAUUUCUCGUGGGGGUUACAUUUAUCAUGGUCGGAGCCAUCCUAGUUGUUUAUCUCGUGAUGAGGGAUAAGAAGAUGAUUCCACUGAUCCCACAAGAUGCCCCUUUCCCUUGGCUUGUAUUCUCCAUUGGCAUGGAUCCGUUUUGGUGGUACUAUUGGCUGGUAAGAUCAACGGCUUAAGGUCGGAGCUUUUCAAAGACACAUACGGCUGCGGUGGAUACAAUACUACUACUACUACACAAGCUAUUCUGAUACAGAGUACAUCAUAACAAGUAGUAAGAUGGAUCUUUUGCUUUGGGGUAUGGUGGUGAUAUUCUUCAUCUUCACAUGGACAUUAUGAGCUUCGGUUCCUCAUUUGAUUUUCUUCAUGUACAUAUGAGCUUCGGUUCCUUUUGGAAACUUUAAAUACAUCAUCUCACCUUGUUGUUUCCUCUCUAUGUUGUGGUUUUGAUUAGUUUGUAAAUAAAAAUUUCAUUUGAUCUUUCUUUGCCUUAUCUGUUACGCAAGCAGACUGAUAAUCUACAAAGAGUUUGUUUUUACAGCAGAACACAAUAUAUACUAGUAAAUACUGGGCAAGCAGACUGAUAAUCUACAAAGAGUUUGUUUUUACAGCUGUCCAAACUCUUUUUUAUCUCUUUGGGUAGGCGAAUAAACAAAAGUUGAAGAGGAAGACGCAUUAUUCAUGCUUCACCCACUGGACUUUUCUAGGCUCAGCUAGUUGCAGCAGCAGAUCCUCUCCAGCCAACACUUGCUUUCUUUCUCAAUGGAACAAAAGCACCCUUUGCAGCAGCACCAUCAACUGUAAUGGAUGCAGGAAGGCAACUGGUUUGUAAGGGAGUAUGUGCCAAAGGAAAAGUAGAUCCAGAGAAGUUAACUGAAAAUCCCAUUUAGUGUAUCAUCAAAACCUUCAUUUAGGUCGAAUUCAACUCUGGCUUCCAUCCAAGGAACAUCCUUGGCAACGGACGUACACUCCUCCGCUUCACCCCCAUCAGCACCACUAAACUAUCUAGACACACUAGGUCUCUUACAACUUGAGAACCUAUAGCCUUGGCGCACCUUUUUUCUACUUCAAUACUCUUAGUUACAGCUGUCACACGACGCUUGCUCUUCUUUUUAUCUGUUUGGUUCAUAUUCUCUAUAUACUAAAUCACAAGUCACCUAGCCAAUCAUAUUUUGACACAUAAUUUCUAUUUAGUAUUUAAAAAAAUUAUAAAAAAAAAGAGAACAAAGAUAAAAACAGAAAAC